rnacentral:rRNA from 1 species
AGAGUUUGAUCCUGGCUCAGAUUGAACGCUGGCGGCAUGCUUUACACAUGCAAGUCGAACGGUAACGCGGGGGCAACCCUGGCGACGAGUGGCGAACGGGUGAGUAAUACAUCGGAACAUGUCCUGGAGUGGGGGAUAGCUCGGCGAAAGCCGGAUUAAUACCGCAUACGCUCUGAGGAGGAAAGCGGGGGACUCGCAAGGGCCUCGCGCUGCAGGAGUGGCCGAUGUCGGAUUAGCUAGUUGGUGAGGUAAAGGCUCACCAAGGCGACGAUCCGUAGCUGGUCUGAGAGGAUGAUCAGCCACACUGGGACUGAGACACGGCCCAGNACUCCUACGGGAGGCAGCAGUGGGGAAUUUUGGACAAUGGGGGCAACCCUGAUCCAGCCAUGCCGCGUGAGUGAAGAAGGCCUUCGGGUUGUAAAGCUCUUUCGGACGGAACGAAAUGGUUACAGUGAAUAACUGUGAUUGAUGACGGUACCGUAAGAAGAAGCACCGGCUAACUACGUGCCAGCAGCCGCGGUAAUACGUAGGGUGCGAGCGUUAAUCGGAAUUACUGGGCGUAAAGCGUGCGCAGGCGGUUCGCCNAGUCAGGUGUGAAAUCCCCGGGCUUAACCUGGGAAUUGCGCUUGAAACUAGCGGGCUUNANUGUGGCAGAGGGGGGUGGNAUUCCACGUGUAG